rnacentral:rRNA from 1 species
AGUGAACGCUGGCGGUAGGCCUAACACAUGCAAGUCGAACGGCAGCACAGUAAGAGCUUGCUCUUACGGGUGGCGAGUGGCGGACGGGUGAGGAAUACAUCGGAAUCUACUUUUUCGUGGGGGAUAACGUAGGGAAACUUACGCUAAUACCGCAUACGACCUGCGGGUGAAAGCAGGGGAUCUUCGGACCUUGCGCGAUUGAAUGAGCCGAUGUCGGAUUAGCUAGUUGGCGGGGUAAAGGCCCACCAAGGCGACGAUCCGUAGCUGGUCUGAGAGGAUGAUCAGCCACACUGGAACUGAGACACGGUCCAGACUCCUACGGGAGGCAGCAGUGGGGAAUAUUGGACAAUGGGCGCAAGCCUGAUCCAGCCAUACCGCGUGGGUGAAGAAGGCCUUCGGGUUCUAAAGCCCUUUUGUUGGGAAAGAAAAGCAGCAGGUUAAUACCCCGCUGUUCUGACGGUACCCAAAGAAUAAGCACCGGCUAACUUCGUG